ACAUUCUAGCUCAAUUGGUUAGAGCGUGGUGCUGGUAACACCAUGGUCACAGGUUCGAUUCUCCUAUGGACAGCU